GGGGAAUUUUCAGCAAUGGGCGCAAGCCUGACGGAGCAAGACCGCGUGCGGGAGGACGGCCUAUUGGUUGUAAACCGCUUUUGAAAGGGAAGCAGCGCUGACGGUACCUAUCGAAUAAGCAUCGACUAACUCCGCGCAAGCAGCCGCGGUAAUCCGGAGGAUGCAAGCGUCAUCAGGCAUUAUUGGGCGGAAAGCGUCCGUCGGAGGUUGUUGAAGUCUGCUGUUAAGGGGCGCGUGUGAAACGCGUA
rnacentral:rRNA from 1 species